CCUACGGGUGGCAGCAGUGAGGAAUAUUGGUCAAUGGGCGCGAGCCUGAACCAGCCAAGUCGCGUGAGGGAAGACGGUCCUAUGGAUUGUAAACCUCUUUUGUCGGGGAGCAAAAGACGCCACGCGUGGCGUUCCGAGAGUACCCGAAGAAAAAGCAUCGGCUAACUCCGUGCCAGCAGCCGCGGUAAUACGGAGGAUGCGAGCGUUAUCCGGAGUUCUUGGGGUUAAAGGGUGCGCAGGCGGAAGAGCAAGUCAGCGGUAAAAUUGAGCGGCCAAACCUCUUCGAGCCGUUGAAACUGGUUUUCUGGAGUGAGUGAGAAGUAUGCGGAAUGCGUGGUGUAGCGGUGAAAUGCAUAGAUAUCACGCAGAACUCCGAUUGCGAAGGCAGCAUACCGGCGCUCAACUGACGCUCAUGCACGAAAGUGUGGGUAUCGAACAGGAUUAGAUACCCCAGUAGUC
rnacentral:rRNA from 1 species